rnacentral:piRNA from 1 species
UGAGAAGGUGCCAAUGGUGCUGUUUUUACGUU